GUUUCAAAAUGGCGAAUUAUCGUGGGACACUCGUUAAAUCAUAUCUCUUGUGACUCGUCUUGGUUCAGCCCUGACACUGGCCAUCGCUCUUCGGAAUCAUGUUUUUCAGGGUGUCACCUCUGCAUGUUGACAUUGUUAUCGAUUUGAACGUGAAAGCUGCCUCAUCAAACGUUCUCACAGUUGUACGUUUUACUCCCCUUAACUAUACAACAGAUGCACGUGAAGUCAUAGACUGGCUUUUAUUUUGUAUUAGUUAACUCCAAGGAACAAGCGGAACGCAAACAUCGUCAUGUUGAUAUUUUAGGGAAGGAGAAGGUGGUGACGACGAGGAGCUGCCGGAGGAAGAGUCUGCAGCUUUUAGAAAUGUGAAUUUUCAGGAAAUUCUGAUCUGUCUGAGUCAGAGCAUCUGCUGUAUUUAUCACUCUUCAGGGGAACAAGCCCCUAAAACUCAGUGCUACGGUUCAGGCUCAGUAAAACACAUGCAUGCAUCAUAUCUGUUGACAUGGUUCAAACAAGAGAUUUUCACAUUUCUAGACUAUCAACUUAAGAUACAUCCAACUAAGCUAAAGAAUUAUUGGUGUAUUUCCAGAAUUCCACAUUUCCAGACUACUGAGAUAAAUGUGAUGAAUUUGAUGUGCAGCACAUUCCAUUGUGAUGACAUGUUCUGUGCUCUUCUACCCCAAGUUAAAGCCCAAUUUGUUUAUAUUGAGACAAAGAACUCCUAACAAUAAUUGCAGAUGUGCACAUCUUAACCCUUUACUUCCUGGAAGUGAUUAACAUGUAGCUUCUCCUUGUUGUAUCCAUAAGGUAAUGAGAAUACCUUCAAGUUUUUAUCUUGAUCUAACCUCAAAUUCUUGUAAUUAAUUUACAAUGAAAUGUAUAGCAGCUGAAGGGGAGAAGUAGCAAUCAGUCCUUGGAAGUUAAUGGGUUAUAAGCUUCAGAGAACAGAAAGCAUUAUGGUUAUAAAUGUUUUGAAUACUAAAGAUUAAAAUUGUCAGUAGCUGACAGAUUCACAUGUUCAUGUAAAUAGGGUAUUGAAUAUUUGUUAACUUGUGAAAGAAACUUGAUUAAAAAUAGGGUCAAGCAAUUUUUCAUUGUGUGUUAACCCUUUAAGCCUUUCACUCCCAUGAGUGACCAAGACAGAAUUUCUCCUUACAAUAUCAAUACAAUAUCAAGCAGACAAGUGAUGGGAUUGAAGAA